rnacentral:rRNA from 1 species
CCUACGGGAGGCAGCAGUGGGGAAUAUUGCACAAUGGGCGCAAGCCUGAUGCAGCCAUGCCGCGUGUAUGAAGAAGGCCUUCGGGUUGUAAAGUACUUUCAGCGGGGAGGAAGGGAGUAAAGUUAAUACCUUUGCUCAUUGACGUUACCCGCAGAAGAAGCACCGGCUAACUCCGUGCCAGCAGCCGCGGUAAUACGGAGGGUGCAAGCGUUAAUCGGAAUUACUGGGCGUAAAGCGCACGCAGGCGGUUUGUUAAGUCAGAUGUGAAAUCCCCAGGCUCAACCUGGGAUCCCAUCCGAUACUGCUCUGGCUAGAGUCUGGUAGGGGAGCGUGGAAUUUCUGGUGUAGCGGUGUAAUGCGCAGAUAUCAGAAGGAACACCAGCGGCGAAGGCGGCGCUCUGGGCCGGUACUGACACUGAGGAGCGAAAGCGUGGGUAGCAAACAGGAUUAGAUACCCUGGUAGUCCACGCCGUAAACGUUGGGCACUAGGUGUGGGGUCUAUUCAACGGACUCCGUGCCGUAGCUAACGCAUUAAGUGCCCCGCCUGGGGAGUACGGCCGCAAGGCUAAAACUCAAAUGAAUUGACGG